CUGUCGGAUGUCUUCCUUGAUCAUCUGUGAAACUCAGGUGUUGUUGAGGUGACAGAUGUCUGUGAAAUAAACACCAUCAAAGUUGGUUGUUCAUGGGGUUGUUGCUUUUCUUUUGGUUGUUAAGAGUCAAAUCUUGAUUUCCAAAAGGGAGACACCUUCCUUUGCCCUUCCAUCUUGUUCAAGGACAUUGUCAGGUGGGGAGUUUGGCUGGGGCGGCACAUCUGUUAAACGGUAACGCAGGUGUCCAAAGACGAGCUCAACAAGGACAGAAACCUUGUGUUGAACAAAAGGGCAAAAGCUCGUUUGAUUUCAAGAUUUUCAGUGCAAAUCCGAACCGAGAAAUCGUGGCCUCUCGAUCCUUCAUCAGAAACCAUAUGCGUUUGAGAGUUGUGUCAAGCUGGAGGUGUCAGAAAAGUUACCACAGGGAUAACUGGCUUGUGCGGCCAAGCGUUCAUAGCG
rnacentral:rRNA from 1 species